rnacentral:ncRNA from 1 species
GAAAUUCUUCGGGGCGGGGUGCAAUUCCCCACCGGCGGUAAAGCCCGCGAGUCUUUAUAGAUUGAUCCGGUGAGAUUCCGGAGCCGACAGUAAAGUCUGGAUGGUAGAAGAAUGAU